rnacentral:sRNA from 1 species
UCCGUAGGUGAACCUGCGGAAGGAUCAUUAAUAGUGCCCUCUGAUGCAAAUCAUUGGGUUAGAUCUGCUCUCUUCGCAAGAAGAGGGUUUCCAUACACACCGUGAACUGUGGCUUCGGCCAUCACAAACUGUUAGUAAUGAAUGUAAUAUCAUAACAAAAACAAAACUUUUAACAACGGAUCUCUUGGCUCUCGCAUCGAUGAAGAACGCAGCGAAAUGCGAUAAGUAAUGUGAAUUGCAGAAUUCAGUGAAUCAUCGAAUCUUUGAACGCACCUUGCGCCCUUUGGUAUUCCGAAGGGCAUGCCUGUUUGAGUGUCAUGAAACCUCACCCCACUUGGGUUUUUGCCUGAGCGGUGGUGUAUUGGGUGUUGCCUUGCUAAAGGCUCGCCUUAAAGACAUAAGCACCUUGGAUGUAAUACGUUUCAUCCUUCUGGGUGGCUGAUAACCCCACAUAUUCAUGAUCUGGCCUCAAAUCAGGUAGGGCUACCCGCUGAACUUAAGCAUAUCAAUAAGCGGAGGAAAAGAAACUAACUAGGAUUCCCUUAGUAACGGCGAGUGAACCGGGAUGAGCUCAAAUUUAAAAUCUGGCGUCUUUCAGGCGUCCGAGUUGUAAUCUAUAGAGGCGUUUUCCGCGCCGGACCGCGUCCAAGUCUCUUGGAAUAGAGUAUCAAAGAGGGUGACAAUCCCGUACUUGACGCGACAACCGGUGCUCUGUGAUACGUUCUCAAUGAGUCGAGUUGUUUGGGAAUGCAGCUCUAAAUGGGUGGUAAAUUCCAUCUAAGGCUAAAUAUUGGCGAGAGACCGAUAGCGAACAAGUACCGUGAGGGAAAGAUGAAAAGCACUUUGGAAAGAGAGUUAAACAGCACGUGAAAUUGUUAAAAGGGAAACGCUUGAAGU